rnacentral:rRNA from 1 species
UACGGAGGGGACUAGCGUUGUUCGGAAUUACGGGGCGUAAAGCGCACGUAGGCGGAUUUGUAAGUCAGGGGUGAAAUCCCGGGGCUCAACCUCGGAACUGCCUUUGAUACUGCAAAUCUCGAGUCCGGAAGAGGUGAGUGGAAUUCCUAGUGUAGAGGUGAAAUUCGUAGAUAUUAGGAAGAACACCAGUGGCGAAGGCGGGUCUCUGGACAGUUCCUGACGCUGAGGCACGAAGGUCAGGGGAGCAAACGGG